rfam:Salmo salar isolate Sally breed double haploid chromosome ssa23, whole genome shotgun sequence.
UGCAUUAACUACUGUAAGUCGCUCUGGAUAAGAGCGUCUGCUAAAUGACAAAUG